AGCGCGGUUACACCAAAUAAAUUAAGUCAUAUAAUACAAGGUAAAAAGAUAGUUAAAUAGCCCCCAAAAAUUACAUAACUAAUUAUAUAGAAGUCAAAUUCGAGUAUAAUAGCUCUAAUUCAAUAGUAAUUUAAUAAAUUGAAUCUAUGAAAGCCCCGAGGGAAACUGGGAUCAGAUACCCCAUUAUUCUCGGUCAUAAACUGAUAACCUAUCUACCCGAGCACUACGAAUGGAUUUUUAAAACUCAAAGGGCUUGGCGGUGUUUUAGACCAAUCAGAGGAACCUGUCUCAUAAUCGAUAAUCCACGCUACACCUGACCUUUUUUUGCGCUCAAUUUGUAUACCGUUGUCAUCAGGUAACUUUUUAGAAACUAAAAGUUAGCUAUCAGUCAUGUUAACUUAAAUGUCAGAUCAAGGUGCAGUCAACAAAAGGGGGAGGAUGGGUUACAAUUAAAAUUCAUAACCACGAAAAGUCAUUAGAACUAAUGACAACAAAGGAGGAUUUGAAAGUAAAAUAAAUUAUAUAAACACUUUGAAUAAGGCCCUGAAAUGUGCACACAUCGCCCGCCGCUCUAAAA
rnacentral:rRNA from 1 species